rnacentral:lncRNA from 1 species
ACGCGAUGGGCGCUGUACAGGAGAAAAAUGUUAUGGAUUAAGGCGGAAAAAAAGGAAUAAAAAUUGGAACCAAUGUUACAACUAAUCCUAAAUUUUUAGAUAAAACUUUAAUUUGCUUCCCUAUGAUUUAGGGUUUUUUUUUUUAUUUUAUCAUUUUGUGUUUCAAAAAGUUGCACUUAACUAUACUUUUUUUCCGCCCAAUAUUUUAUGCGUAAACUAAAUUACAAAUACUUUAUUCAAUUUCACUAAAGUUCCAUUGUGUGCACAAUCACCUACUAAAUGUGCACAAAAACAUUACUCCAAUCACCUUCCAUUUUUGUGCACACCAACCUUUUUUUUCUCCAGGGUACAUUUUUUAUGGCACCCUAGCAAUGCUAGAAAAUUUGCCUUAAAUGUGAAGAGUUCUUAAAACUAAAAGGAGUGAAGUGAUUGAUGGAGAAAGGAGGGAAAAGAACCUCCAAAAUAACCAUCACCUCUCUCUCUCUCUCUCUCUCUAUAUAUAUAUAUAUAUAUAUAAUCCAGCUAUAUGAUGCUUGUAAAAGUACCAAAUACUUGAUACUUGUAAAUUUUUACCGUUAGAUUUACUCCUCUGAUCAUUUUCAACCAUUAGAUUAUACUAUUCAACCAACUACCCACUCAACUCUAGAGGGCCCACAUCAUCCUAACCGCAUAUCUCUUAAUUCAAUGGCUAAAAAUCUACAAGUACCAAUGUCUUGAUACUUUUAAAAGCAUAGAAGCUCAAUUAUAUAUAUAUAUAUAUAUAUAUAUAUAUAUAUAUAUAUAUACACGCGCGCGCGUGCGCACAUACGCACCAACCAUUUAAUAUUUUUGUAGAUCGAAAGCGCUAACCAACUAUUUCAUAAUGAAAUGUUGAUAAUAAGAAGGCACCUAUCGUACUUAAAGGCUCAAUCGUACAUAGUGGCAACGGAUUUUGACUUGACUUAAUUCACCUGAAUUUAGAUUUAUUGUUGGACCUUUUACUAUUAGAUUUAUUGCAGACCAUAGCGUUACUCAAUUUAUUGGGCUCACCCAAUUUAGUUUAUUAGUCUCCUGUACCUAUUACCGCGCGCGAGACAAGAAGUUGAAUCCAUUUUAGUCAAUAAUAAAUAGCUGAUACUGUUAAAUAUGAUAUACGUUUCAUAAACUUUUUAGAAACCAUUUUU